GUCCCGGAAAGCCUAGAGAGGCGGGGUCUUUGGUAACCCGGCGGUUACUCGUCUCUUUCAUUUGGUGUGAGCGCGGACCUUUAAACUUGGACGGUGCCCGUCAGUUAUAGAAGUCGGAUUGAAGAAUACAGAAGAGAGUUGGCUCCAGGUCGACUCAUCCUAGAUCACGUGUUCUUCCAGAGGCCGUAUUGAGAUCAUCUUUGUUUGCCGCUUGUACAUUUUCCGCGUGAUGGUCUUACGGAGAGGCUGAAAACAACUUAUAACGUGGUAUGGAAAAAGGAAGCAUGCCUGGGAAACCUGAUUUCUUUAAAUGGAAGAUUAAGUUCUUAUAGAACAAAUGAAUUUCUAUUUUACAAAUUAACCAUAUAUUAGACUUAGCUUUUCAUUAGAAUUUAGCCACCUUUCCCAAAAAUAUAUGUGUACAUUGUAUUUUAGAUUGGAGAGAGCUCAAAUUCAGAUAGUUCAAAUUUACUGCAUCUUGUUUAACAUACCAGACCAAGACUUUUGAAUGGACAUUUGGCACUAGAAAAGAGAAUAACUUACCCAUUAUGAAAAUGUCAAGUUGUUAAAAUACAUGCUACAAUCCAGCAUUACAAAUGCUUUAAAAAGCUGAAUCAGAAGCACACAGAGAAAAGGCGUUGUGAAGACACAGCAAGCAGGAAGGAAGCC